rnacentral:rRNA from 1 species
UGGGUUAUCUACCUCCGAGUGGGGAAUAACUCAGGGAAACUUGGGCUAAUACCGGAUACGCCCUUUGGGGGAAAGAUUUAUCGCUGAAAGAGCGGCCCGCGUCUGAUUAGCUAGUUGGUAGGGUAAUGGCCUACCAAGGCGACGAUCAGUAGCUGGUCUGAGAGGAUGAUCAGCCACACUGGGACUGAGACACGGCCCAGACUCCUACGGGAGGCAG